rnacentral:misc_RNA from 1 species
UCCGAGUUGUCCCCGGCAGUCCCCUUAGAGUCCCCGGCAUGACCCGGUAGCAACUGGGAGCGGGGGUUGCGCUCGUUGCGGGACUUAAGCCAACACCUCACGGCACGAGCUGACGACAGCCAUGCAGCACCUGUGCUAGCCCCUUACGGACACGGGCUUUCACCCGCUUUAACUAGCAUGUCAAGCCUAGGUAAGGUUCUUCGCGUUGCAUCGAAUUAAGCCACAUGCUCCGCCGCUUGUGCGGGCCCCCGUCAAUUCCUUUGAGUUUCAGCCUUGCGGCCGUACUUCCCAGGCGGGGCACUUAUCGCGUUAGCUGCGGCACUGACGGGGUCGCUCCCCCCAGCACCUAGUGCCCAUCGUUUACGGCGUGGACUAC